rnacentral:rRNA from 1 species
GGAUCCCUAAAGUUCCCAUAGCAAACUGCUCAGUAACACAUGAUCAACUUGCCCUAUGGAGAGCACUAACCUCGGGAAACUGAGGAUAAUGGCUCAUACUUGAUUAGGCUUGGAAAAGUUUUUCAAUGAAAUGGCGUAAGAAAAAUGGUUCUUAUGCGCCAUACGAUAGGAUCGUGCUCGAUUAUGGUAGUUGGUGAGGUAACGGCUCACCAAGCCGAUAAUCGAUAGGGGCCGUGAGAGCGGUUGCCCCGAGAUGGGUACUGAGACAGCGACCCAGGCCUUACGAGGCGCAGCAGGCGCGAGACCUCCGCAAUACACGCAAGUGUGACGGGGUUACCCAAAGUGUCCUUAUUGGACUGUGGUAGGUGAGUAAUGUCCCCUACUAGAAAGGAGAGGGCAAGGCUGGUGCCAGCCGCCGCGGUAAAACCAGCUCUUCAAGUGGUCGGGAUAAUUAUUGGGCUUAAAGUGUCCGUAGCCGGUUUAGUAAGUUCCUGGUAAAAUCGGGUGGCUUAACUAUUCGUAUGCUAGGAAUACUGCUAUACUAGAGGGCGGGAGAGGUCUGAGGUACUACAGGGGUAGGGGUGAAAUCUUGUAAUCCUUGUAGGACCACCAGUGGCGAAGGCGUCAGACUGGAACGCGCCUGACGGUGAGGGACGAAAGCCAGGGGAGCGAACCGGAUUAGAUACCCGGGUAGUCCUGGCCGUAAACGAUGCAUACUAGGUGAUGGCACGGCCAUGAGCCGUGUCAGUGCCGUAGGGAAACCGUUAAGUGUGCCGCCUGGGAAGUACGGUCGCAAGGCUAAAACUUAAAGGAAUUGGCGGGGGAGCACCACAAGGGGUGAAGCCUCCGGUUUAAUUGGACUCAACGCCGGGAAACUUGCCAGGGGAGACAGCAGAAUGAUGGUCAGGUUGACGACCUUACCUAACGAGCUGAGAGGAGGUGCAUGGCCGUCGCCAGUUCGUGCUGUGAGGUAUCCUGUUAAGUCAGGCAACGAACGAGAUCCGCGCCUUUAUUUGCCAGCAAGAAGUCACGACUUUGUUGGGAACAAUAAAGGGACCGCCGUCGAUAAGACGGAGGAAGGAGCGGGCAAAGGCAGGUCAGUAUGCCCCGAAACCCAUGGGCUACACGCGGGCUGCAAUGGUAUGAACAAUGGGCUGUAACUCCGAAAGGAGAAACCAAUCCCGAAAUCAUAUCUCAGUGGGAUUGUCGGCUGUAACUCGCUGACAUG